rnacentral:rRNA from 1 species
AUUGCACGCUGGCUGCAGGCCUAACCCAUGCACGUCGAACGAGUGGCGGACAGGUGAGUAAUGUCUGGGAAACUGCCUUAUGGCGGGGGAUAACUACUGGAAACGUUAGCUAAUACCGCAUACCAUCAGAUGUGCCCAGAUGGUAUUAGCUAGGUGGUGUGGUAACGGCUCACCAAGGCGACGAUCCCUAGCUGGUCUGAGAGGAUGACCAGACACACUGGAACUGUGACACGGUCCAGACUCCUCAGGUAGGCAGCAGUGGGGAAUAUUGCACAAUGGGCUCAAGCCUGAUGCAGCCAUGCCGCGUGUAUGAAGAAGGCCUUCGUGUUGUAAAGUACUUUCAGCGGGGAGGCGUUACCCGCAGAAGAAGCACCGGCUAACUCCGUGCCAGCAGCCGCGGUAAUUC